GGGGGUGAAUUGGAAUCGAUUGGCGUAGAUAGUCAUACGGGGCACGUAGUGAGAUGUUAUCUAUCACUUUAAUCUAUGGUGACACUUUUUUUAACUGGCGAAACAAUCGCAAAACUUCAGGCUGUAGGUCUUCUACGCACUGAAGAAGUAACUGUAGCGUAAGACGCAACAGUGAAACGGGUCGGUGGACAUAUAACCUUUGAACAGAAGUCUGUAUAUGGGAGUCACAGGUCAGAGCUCUCUUAAAUAACUCUGAGACCAGGUUGUUUAUUGGUUUGUUUCCCACACACAUCAAACCAUUUAUUUCGGAAUGUUGAGAAUCAACAUUGACCUAAACGUGUAGUCCUUUAUGGGUGAUGCGAACAAGACUCGGGUUCGACUCCCGACACCUCCACCA
rnacentral:tmRNA from 1 species